rnacentral:rRNA from 1 species
AGACGUCUACAUUAGAUACCCGGGUAGUCCCAGCCGUAAACUAUGCGCGUUAGGUGUAUCGGUGACCACGAGUUACCGAGGUGCCGAAGGGAAACCGUGAAACGUGCCGCCUGGGAAGUACGGUCGCAAGGCUGAAACUUAAAGGAAUUGGCGGGGGAGCACCGCAACGGGAGGAGCGUGCGGUUUAAUUGGAUUCAACACCGUAAAACCCACCAGGGAAGACUGUUACAUGAAGGCCGAGAUGAAGACUCUGCUAGAUUUUCAG